ACAUUGGAAUGGGCUGCCCAGGGAGGUGGUGGAGUCACCGUCCCUGGAACUGUUUAAGGAAAGACUGGAUGUGGCACACAGUGCUCUGGUUUGGUCUGGUGGUGUUCGGUCAAACGUUGGACUUGGUGAUCCCAGAGGUCUUUUCCAACCUUACUGAUUCUGUGAGUCCGUGACUCACAGAACCUGCAGGACACAGCCCAGUCCGGUCUCAGAACUGACUCCAUUGGGAGCGUGAGGGAGGACUGGAGCCCUCCUGGCGCCGCUUCCAGCUCUUGGCGCUGUGACCCUACAGCUCUCACUCAGCGGCCCUGACGGCAGUCCCUGCACAACCCAGCAGAGCCCCUCACAUCUCCUCAGAGCCCCUCACAGCCCCCUCACAACCCCUCACAGUCCCUGCACAGUGCCCUCACAACCCAGCACAGCCCGGUCACAACCCCGCACGGCCCCUCACAACCCAGCACAGCCCCUCCAUCCCCUCAGAGCCCCUCACAACACUGCGCAGAGCCCUCACAACACCUCACAGCCCCUGCACAGCCCCCUCACAGCUCCUCACAACCCCUCACAGCUCCUCACAACCCCUCACAGCCCCCGCACGACCCCGGGGCCCCCGGGCCGAGGGAGCGGCCUCCGGAGCCGGCAGGGGGACCUCGCGCCUCAGCCCGCGGUGCCGUCGCCGCAGCCUCGGCUUUUAAGGAGUAAAAUUGAUGUGGAAUUGGAGUGAAAUUGAUGUGGAAGCCAAAGGGUCGCGGGAUGUUCAGGAGAGGUUGAGAAUUGCCAUCUACCAGGGAAUAGCUGUCUACAGUGCUAUUCCAUAAUGUGAGAGUUGGAAGCAUACCAGCACCUGACAGGCAGGACUGGGAAUUGGCCUGCACCCUCCUUACCUCUGAAUGAGAACUCUAACCACUAAGCAACUGUAAAAAUAGUCUCAAUCCAAUCGGCAGAGAGAGACAUCAUUCCUCUAAUGAUAUUUCCAAAGGAAUAAGCACAUGCAAUCCAAUUCUGUGCAGAGAUUCAUUCAAUAAAUAUGUUCUGAGACAA